CUUUCGGUUAAUUGAUUAUCAUUAGUUUCAUUUCUCUUUGAAACAUUUCUUAAACCCAAACCCUACAGUACAUUAGUUGGGAAUUGUCUCAUAUCCGAAUUUCGGAUAGAAUCGAUAUGAAAAAACGUUCCUUCUUCUCAAAAUCCAUUCGCUCACUUCAGCUAGUGCCGAAACCUUUUUUGGCUUUUCUUCUCACAUUUAACAUUUUAGGAGGAGUGUACAUUUGGUUGCCAGUUGUAAAGUUAAACGAAGAAAGGAUACAACAACAGAAACUUGCUACAUCCGAAAGUUCUAAUGAAGAACUGAAGAGUUAGAGCACCAGAGGCAAGUAAAGCUCUUCACAGCUUAGGGCACUCAACAACCACAGCGCAAAAGAAUGCCAAACAUUAAUAGGAAUUUCGUGUUAGGCAUGGGACUCUUUAUUUUUGGUUCCUACCAGCUUCGUAAACGCUGGUCCAGUACCUUGAUGGACAACAUGGAAAUUGAAGUGAGCAGUUACACACAGAGGCAGAAGCUCUUGAAGGAUAAAAAUACAGAAGAACUGGCAGAUUAACUUCGCAUCUUUUCUCUCCUGUGUGUGUUAAUGAAUUAUUGAUAAAAUUUAGUCACUUGCAUACUAAGGCAUGCUUGUUUAUGUAAUGGAAUGAGGAAAACUAAACAAAAAAGAAAAAUGUUGAUUAGGAAUAACAUUCAUCAUACAAAUGAUACAUUUUUGAAACUGUUUUCUGCAUUUUAAAAUUGUGCUUUUCAGAACAUGGUAUUUUAAUUUUAAUAAGCUUAAUUACAUGUAAUUGUUACUUAAGUUAACUUAAGAAUUAUGAUGUAACAUGUAUAUUGCCAUUUUUUUCUUUUAACUCCUGAUAUGAUGAAAAAGGUAUAAUGUAUAAUGAUGUAUAAUUGAAUCACCAUGGAGGUCUGUUUUUCUCACUGUAGGCACAAAGAAGUUCUCAUACAAUUUCCAACUUGCAAUAGUCAAAUUGGCUAGGACUUGUCCUUAUAACAUGUAGUUGUGCAUGUGCAAAAUUAUAUACCUUUCAAACAUGCAUGUGUCAUAUUUGGUAUGUAACAUUGAAUAUUGACUAAGAGAGUCUAAUCUUAUUGUUUAUAUUGACUUAUUUAGCCAAAUCAGUAAAUAUUAAGAAAAAUCUGUUCCUCUGUUACCACGGAGCCCAUAGGUUUGAUAUAAAUUGUGGUUCUCUACAAACUUAGUUCAAAUAAUGUCCUUAGAGUUCAAAUCUCGUCACUCCUUCUUUAAGUCCAAUAUUUGACUGUUAAAACUUGCUACGUUUUAUUACAUGCAGCAUCGGGCGUAUUUAUCAAUACUGUGACAAGGUCUAGUUACUUUAGCAUAUACUCUAAAUGCAGACUUAUGGUGUUUUAUCCCUUUCCCAAUCUGAAGCAAAGUGAAAACGGCUAUGAGCAAACAGCAUAAAACAAGGAAAAGCCUGCGAGUAACUCGCAGCCUAUUCAGGUUUUAUGCUGUUUGCUGCUCAUCAAUAUCUUUGGGUUGGAAAUGAAGCCUUUUAAACUUGAAUUUAAUAAGAAAGUUAUUUAAUUAAAUUGAACUUCCUAUGGGACUAAAAAUGCAUCAAAAUAUGUAUCUAAGUGGUAUAGGGUCAUGCAGUUGUCCAUGUCAUUGAUCAUGUACAUGAUGUUUAUUAUUUAGAAUGCAUGUUAAAGUUCACAAAUAAAUGUUUGCUAGUAAAUAAAGUCAUAUCUGUU